CAGCGGCGGACGGGUGAGUAACACGUGGGUAACCUGCCUGUAAGACUGGGAUAACUCCGGGAAACCGGGGCUAAUACCGGAUAACUCAGUUCCUCGCAUGAGGAACGGUUGAAAGGUGGCUUUUUGCUACCACUUACAGAUGGACCCGCGGCGCAUUAGCUAGUUGGUGAGGUAACGGCUCACCAAGGCGACGACGGGUAGCCGGCCUGAGAGGGUGAUCGGCCACACUGGGACUGAGACACGGCCCAGACUCCUACGGGAGGCAGCAGUAGGGAAUCUUCCGCAAUGGACGAAAGUCUGACGGAGCAACGCCGCGUGAGCGAAGAAGGCNUUCGGGUCGUAAAGCUCUGUUGUUAGGGAAGAACAAGUACCGUUCGAAUAGGGCGGUACCUUGACGGUACCUAACCAGAAAGCCACGGCUAACUACG
rnacentral:rRNA from 1 species